CGCAGCGGGGAGGAGCACGGGCGGGCUAUGCUGAAGAGCAGCGAAGGAAAAGAAGGAAAAAAAAUGUUUUGCCGGGAGGGAGGCAGGCGCAAAGGAAGGGAAGGGGGAAAGGCUUCUCUCUGGAAGCACUGGGGAGAGAGAGGGGAUGGGUUUAGGUGGGAAACGCUGGGUGGCAAGGAGGGCUUCGUCUGCACGCACUGAGAAGCAAGCAAGGUGAGGAAGGCUUUGGAGAACCUGCAAGCAAUGAGCGAGAAGAAUCUGCAGGAUGGUUACGAGGCCAAUGAUGCAAGUCCUGGGAGAUGGAGGAGAGAGACCCCGGACAGUGGCACUUCUCUGAAGAAAUGAGUAAGGCUUUGGAGAACCUGCAAGCAACGAGCGAGAAGAAUCUGCAGGAUGGUUACGAGGCCAAUGAUGCAAGUCCCAGGAGUUGGCGGAGGGAGACCCCGGGCAGUGGCACUUCUCUGAAGGUAGGGCCUGGCAUGCAGAUCGGCGCUCCCUGUUGCUCCCGAGCCCUUUUGCUGCCCGGAGCAGCGAGGCAUUAGGCUGGAUUUAGUUUUUUACCUCUCUGCCUUUGGGAGAACGGGAGGCAUUAUUGUUUGAGGUUGGCUGGAGCUGGUGCUGCAGUGAGGUCUUUCUUCUCUUCUGGGAAGACAAUUGUUUUUUUUGUUCUUGUGUUUAAUGUCUCUCUUCGUAUAUUUAUUUCCUAACUCCCAUAAAUUUUAUUUAUGCUUUUCAGACAAAAUAAAAAGUUGUAGAAUACUUUUUCACCAAUAAUAAAAUCCGUUUCCUGAUCUCUGCA